rnacentral:rRNA from 1 species
AUUGAACGCUAGCUACAGGCUUAACACAUGCAAGUCGAGGGGCAGCAUGGUCUUAGCUUGCUAAGGCCGAUGGCGACCGGCGCACGGGUGAGUAACACGUAUCCAACCUGCCGUCUACUCUUGGACAGCCUUCUGAAAGGAAGAUUAAUACAAGAUGGCAUCAUGAGUCCGCAUGUUCACAUGAUUAAAGGUAUUCCGGUAGACGAUGGGGAUGCGUUCCAUUAGAUAGUAGGCGGGGUAACGGCCCACCUAGUCUUCGAUGGAUAGGGGUUCUGAGAGGAAGGUCCCCCACAUUGGAACUGAGACACGGUCCAA